GACGAACGCUGGCGGCGUGCUUAACACAUGCAAGUCGAACGAGUGGCGAACGGGUGAGUAAUACGUGGGUAACCUGCCCUCUUUUUGGGAUAAGCCUUGGAAACGGGGUCUAAUACCGAAUAAAGGGGGAUGGGCUCGCGGCCUAUCAGCUUGUUGGUGGGGUGAUGGCCUACCAAGGCGGUGACGGGUAGCAGGCCUGAGAGGGUGAUGGGCCACAGUGGGGCUGAGAUACGGCACAGACUCCGACGGGAGGCAGCAGUGGGGGAUAGUGCAAAAUGGGCGAAAGCCUGAUGCAGCGACGCCGCGUGGGGGAUGAAGGCUUCCGGGUUGUAAACCUCUUUCGCUAGCGAACCGGUAGGGGGAGAAGAAGCGCCGGCUAACUACGUGCCAGCAGCCGCGGUAAUAC
rnacentral:rRNA from 1 species